rnacentral:lncRNA from 1 species
GCUGGAAGAAGUCUGGAAGAGAUUCGGAGGGUAGUCGAUCACUGAAGAAAAUCGGCUGGUAGUGAAGCCCAGAGAGCAUUUGGAGCAGUCCGAUAGAUGAAUGGAGGAGCUCAUUAUUGGAGAAAUCCAGAUGGCACGAUAGAAGUUCGUCCGUUUGAGGAAUCUGGAGGACACUAUGGAAGGUCGACUGCUGGGGGAGUCCGGAUGGUAUUAUGGAAGCUCGGACGGCUGGAGAGGUUCAGCUGCUGGGGGAGUCCGGAUGGUAUUAUGGAAGCUCGGACGGUCGGAGAGGUUCAGAAAGAUGCUGCACAAGGUCGGAAGCCGG